GCUGACUCUGUUUUCAGACUCACCCUGCCUGCACCCAGGUGAUUAAAAGCUUUAUUGCUCACACAAAGCCUGUUUAGUGUUCUCUUCAUACGGAUGUGCAUGAAAUUUGGUGCCAUGACUCGGAUCGGGGGACCUCCCUUGGGAGAUCAAUCCCCUGUCCUCCUGUUCUUUGCUCUGUGAGAAAGAUCCACCUACGACCUCAGGUCCUCAGACCCACCAGCCCAAGAAACGUCUCACCAAUUUCAAAUCCGGACCCCACUGAAAAUUAGACUGUU
rnacentral:lncRNA from 1 species